rnacentral:misc_RNA from 1 species
CACAUGGUUUAAGUCAAUCUGUUUGCCAGAAAGGACUUUCUAAUUCCAGAAGUGUUUUCAGCUGGGUUUUUAGAAGGGUCCUUGGGUUUAUUACGUGCUCUUCAGAAUUGCGGAGAAAGCAGGUAGUGGCCAAACGAAAAAAAGCGGAGAUCUACCUAACGGAAAAUCUGAGUCUUCCCAUAAACAAUGUCGCCUAGGACCCAAGUUAGUAGGAGGCUUCUUCCUCCUAUCUUCCUUCCCAAAGUUGGUCAUAAGCAAUCGGCAUCGCGGAUCAUUGCCCUCACUUUCCUAACUGAAAAUGAAUUUGGAAGAAUAAAUAAACAGGUGAUGCCAAGAUACUGGAUGGAGUAUAAUAGGCAGAGCUGAAGUGAAGCUAAAGUCCAACAAACAAAUGAAAGAAAUAUUAUGUAAUACAUAGAGGACGCACACAAAAGAUAAUAAAUUGA